CCCUGUCUCUGCCCCUUCCCAGCAUGCUUUGUUAAGAGGAGAUUGACAGGCAUACUUCCCUUCCCCCUAGGCUUUCAGAAGCUCAAGGUUGCUUUGCACUGUCUUAAACUCCUUUAAAAGGGCUCACAUUCUGGCAAGAGUUAGAAGCACCCACCCAAAAGUCCAUGCCCAGCAGAGGGAACCUGGGACAGAAGACCACCCCUACUCCAACUCUGCAGACCCUCCAUGACAGGAUAACAAGAAAACGCAACUUCUUCUGAAGAAAGAGUGGGUGGGCUUCUAAAAUGCUGCACUGCAUGAUGUCCAGUAGGAGGAUCUCCUUUCAGACAGGAAGAUGGAUGAGCUGUCAUCAAUUUCCCUCAUAUUCUACCAUGCGGGACUCCAGUAAGAUGGCCAGAGGACAGUUCUGGUUUGUUUAACACAAGAUAAAGAUAUACAAAAGGUGAUUUUCAGCAAAGAAAAUUGUCAAUGUGGCAAACUAUUUGAGACCUUAUUCUGGAAGCACGAAUCAAUUAGUGUAACUCCCAGUCAUGAAUAGCAUCUAGCUACUGAAAGAGUGAGUAGCAACCACAUUAAGACAGUCACGUUCCUCAUAUUGUUAUUUUAACUUUUAGUUAAUUUACCAUAUUACUUGUACCAACAGCUAAUCAGAGUGUGACCACUUCUGCGCAAUGUGUCUUAAAUGCAUUUUUGAAGCCAAUGUAAAUGUCUACUAUUUUAUUCAGUGUGUGACUCACAACAUGCUGAAGCAGAAGGGCCAAAUUCACUUCUGGCAUAAGCUGGUGUCACUCAGUUUAAAUCAAUGGCAAUGCACUCACUUAGCCCAGCAAUGAAUUGGCUUCCCCGUCUUUCCUUGGAGUGCUUUGUAUUUAGACAUUUAUUUUUAGUUUAUGAAUUAUUACAUAUGAAAGAGGCUAGUUUACCAACCCAGGAGAAUGAAAUGGUUUAGCUGUAGGACAGAUGCAGCACGAGCAGCCAUAUUAAACAGUUCCCUAUAUUGUAUCGUAACCAGAAGCUAAAGAAACCACCCAAAAAAACCCAAACAAAUCUAUGAUGGGUAAGGACUAAAUGAGCCGGGAAACUAAACUCUGCCCUUGCACUUAGGUUUUGUGUAUACCAGACAAAUUGGCAAAAAAAAAAAA